AGGGGAAUAUCUGGGUCAAAUGGUGAUUCCAUUCCCAGCUUUCUAAGAAAUCUCCAUACUACUUUCCAAAUUGGCUGCACCAAUUUGCACUCCCACCAGCAAU
rnacentral:pre_miRNA from 1 species